GAUGAACGCUGGCGGCGUGCCUAAUACAUGCAAGUCGAGCGAACAGACGAGGAGCUUGCUCCUCUGACGUUAGCGGCGGACGGGUGAGUAACACGUGGAUAACCUACCUAUAAGACUGGGAUAACUUCGGGAAACCGGAGCUAAUACCGGAUAAUCUAUUGAACCGCAUGGUUCAAUAGUGAAAGACGGUUUUGCUGUCACUUAUAGAUGGAUCCGCGCCGCAUUAGCUAGUUGGUAAGGUAACGGCUUACCAAGGCAACGAUGCGUAGCCGACCUGAGAGGGUGAUCGGCCACACUGGAACUGAGACACGGUCCAGACGCCUACGGGAGGCAGCAGUAGGGAAUCUUCCGCAAUGGGCGAAAGCCUGACGGAGCAACGCCGCGUGAGUGAUGAAGGUCUUCGGAUCGUAAAACUCUGUUAUUAGGGAAGAACAAAUGUGUAAGUAACUAUGCACGUCUUGACGGUACCUAAUCAGAAAGCCACGGCUAACUACGUG
rnacentral:rRNA from 1 species